AAGUCGUAACAAGGUUUCCGUAGGUGAACCUGCGGAAGGAUCAUUAAUGAAUUUGUCCUUUGGACAUUCUCUCAUACACUUGUGAACUUACACUGUUGCUUGGUGGAAGGCGGUCUGCACUUGUAGAUGCGCGCCACCGAGAUUUUUUCACUCAUUCUAUGUCUGAACACAAACAAAAAUAAAACAAAACUUUCAACAAUGGAUCUCUUGGCUCUG
rnacentral:misc_RNA from 1 species